rnacentral:rRNA from 1 species
ACACUCCUGCGGGAGGCAGCAGUGGGGAAUAUUGGACAAUGGGCGCAAGCCUGAUCCAGCCAUGCCGCGUGAGUGAUGAAGGCCCUAGGGUUGUAAAGCUCUUUCACCGGUGAAGAUAAUGACGGUAACCGGAGAAGAAGUCCCGGCUAACUUCGUGCCAGCAGCCGCGGUAAUACGAAGGGGGCUAGCGUUGUUCGGAUUUACUGGGCGUAAAGCGCACGUAGGCGGACUAUUAAGUCAGGGGUGAAAUCCCGGGGCUCAACCCCGGAACUGCCUUUGAUACUGGUAGUCUUGAGUUCGAGAGAGGUGAGUGGAAUUCCGAGUGUAGAGGUGAAAUUCGUAGAUAUUCGGAGGAACACCAGUGGCGAAGGCGGCUCACUGGCUCGAUACUGACGCUGAGGUGCGAAAGCGUGGGGAGCAAACAGGAUUAGAAACCCGGGUAGUCCC